rnacentral:rRNA from 1 species
UUAAACGGCCGCGGUACUCUGACCGUGCAAAGGUAGCGUAAUCACUUGUCUUUUAAAUAAAGACUAGUAUGAAUGGCAUCACGAGAACUAAUCUGUCUCCCUCCCCCAAUCAGUGAAACUGAUCUCCCCGUGCAGAAGCGGGGAUGACACCAUAAGACGAGAAGACCCUGUGGAGCUUCAAAUCGAAAAUCAACUUGCUAUACUUUACCUCUCGAGGAUAUAUUCAUAUAGACUUGACUUAGAUUUUUAGCUGGGGCGGCUGUGGAGAAAAAAUCAUCCUCCACGAAACUCUAUUCUAAGGGCUACUGCCCUAAGUAAUAAUAAAUUAAUUUAAUUGACCCAAUUUUUGAUCAACGGACCAAGUUACCCCAGGGAUAACAGCGCAAUCCACUUUUAGAGUCCAUAUCGACAAGUGGGCUUACGACCUCGAUGUUGGAUCAGGGCACCCAAGUGGUGCAGCCGCUACUAAAGGUUCGUUUGUUCAACGAUUAAAG